rnacentral:rRNA from 1 species
AUUGAACGCUGGCGGCAGGCCUAACACAUGCAAGUCGAGCGGAAGAAGGGUGCUUGCUCCUGGAUUCAGCGGCGGACGGGUGAGUAAUGCCUAGGAAUCUGCCUGGUUGCGGGGGAUAACGUCCGGACACGGGCGCUAAUACCGCAUACGUCCAGAGGGAGAAAGUGGGGGAUCUUCGGAUCUUACGCUCUCAGAUGAGUCUAGGUCGGGUUAGCUAGUUGGUGGGGUAAAGGCCUACCAAGGCGACGAUCCGUAACUGGUCUGAGAGGCUGAGCAGGCACACUGGAACUGGGACACGGUCCAGACUCCUACGGGAAGGAACAGUGGGGAAUAUUGGGCAAUGGGCGGAAGCCUUGUCCAGCCAUGCCGCGUGUGUGAAAAAGGUCUUCGGAUUGUAAAGCACUUUUGGUUGGGAGGAAGAGCAGUAAGUUAAUACCUUGCUGUUUUGACGGUACCAACAGAAUAAGCACCGGCUAACUUCGUG